CCCACGACUCUUAAGAGUUAUACAACUCCCAUACCAUCUGUUAACCUACCCAGUUAUGCCUCGGCGUAAGCUCGGUUGGAGGCACCUGCAGCUACCCUGUAGUUGCGGACUGCCAACUCCAGCCGCGGCCCGCCGGCGGUACACUAAACUCUGUUUUAUUUUAUAUUCUGAGCGUCUUAUUUUAAUAAGUUAAAACUUUCAACAACGGAUCUCUUGGUUCUGGCAUCGAUGAAGAACGCAGCGAAAUGCGAUAAGUAAUGUGAAUUGCAGAAUUCAGUGAAUCAUCGAAUCUUUGAACGCACAUUGCGCCCAUCAGUAUUCUGGUGGGCAUGCCUGUUCGAGCGUCAUUUCAACCCUUAAGCCUAGCUUAGUGUUGGGAAUCUGCUGUACUGCAGUUCCUUAAAGACAGUGGCGGAGCGGCGGUAGUCCUCUGAGCGUAGUAAUUUAUUUCUCGCUUUUGUCAGGCUCUGUCCUCCCGCCAUAAAACCCCCAAUUUUUUAGUGGUUGACCUCGGAUCAGGUAGGAAUACCCGCUGAACUUAAGCAUAUCAAUAAGCGGAGGAA
rnacentral:rRNA from 1 species